AACGAACGCUGGCGGCAGGCCUAACACAUGCAAGUCGAACGCCGUAGCAAUACGGAGUGGCAGACGGGUGAGUAACACGUGGGAACGUACCCUCGGUUCGGAAUAACUCAGGGAAACGUUAGAGCUAAUACCGGAGUACGUCCGAGAGGAGAAAGAUUUAUCGCCGAGGGAGUCGGCCCGCGUCUGAUUAGCUGUUGGUGAGGUAACGGCUCACCAAGGCGACGAUCAGUAGCUGGUCNGAGAGGA
rnacentral:rRNA from 1 species